rnacentral:rRNA from 1 species
GAUGAACGCUGGCGGCGUGCCUAAUACAUGCAAGUCGAACGGUGAAGGUGGAGCUUGCUCCGCCGGAUCAGUGGCGAACGGGUGAGUAACACGUGGGCAACCUGCCCCUAACUUUGGGAUAACUACUCGAAAGAGUAGCUAAUACCGGAUAUGAAGUCUGUAGGCAUCUACGGACUUGGAAAGUUUUUCGGUUAGGGAUGGGCCCGCGGCCUAUCAGCUUGUUGGUGAGGUAGUGGCUCACCAAGGCGACGACGGGUAGCCGGCCUGAGAGGGUGAUCGGCCACACUGGGACUGAGACACGGCCCAGACUCCUACGGGAGGCAGCAGUGGGGAAUAUUGCACAAUGGGCGCAAGCCUGAUGCAGCAACGCCGCGUGAGGGAUGACGGCCUUCGGGUUGUAAACCUCUUUUAGCAGGGAAGAAGCGAAAGUGACGGUACCUGCAGAAAAAGCACCGGCUAACUACGUGCCAGCAGCCGCAGUAA